rnacentral:lncRNA from 1 species
ACAAAUAUUGCAUGAGAAAUUGAGAGCACGGGUAUGAACAAACAUGAAACUUGUAUAAGUUGCUGUCCUCAAACCAAGAACAGGAUUACAACCAAACAACACGCUAGGCCAGAUAGACAGCCUUUAUUUUAUUCAAACUCCAUACAUUGGUAGCUUACCAUAGGACAAACAAUGGCUCCUUACACAUUGCACAUUUCCGACAAACUUAUACCAUGAGUGUGUGUAACUUGAAAUUGACCUCGCACGAAAAAAAAAUACACUGAUACAACAAUCAAUUGCGUGUGGUGGAUGCAGCGGCACCGGGGGCUGUUGAGACCUUCCCUUUGGGGCCGGUCAAGGUACCAGCCAAGCCUGGGUCGUUGAGGUCCUGGAAGCCGCCGGCAAUUAUGCGCACCAGGCCCUGAGCUUCCCUGUUGACGGCACUACCGGCAUCCAGGACCUGAGCUUCCCUGACGCUGCCUGAGUCCACUUGCUGUUCGGCCAGCUUUCUACCGGCGGCUGCCACCGGAGGAGUGAGGGAGCACAGCUGCACGACGACGCCGGCCAGAACAAGGAGCAGGACGACGGAGUUCCGGGCCAUGGCAGCCAUCAGAAACUAACUGCAAUAUAUGUGUGAUGUGUGGAUGUUUGAGUUGGUUGCUUCGCUGUUUUGCAGUGUCGUCGAGCUGAGGGCUGCCUCCUUUUAUAGAAGUGCAGAGAGGCGCAGGGGGUCAAGCUGAAGCUGGCGUUUAGCAGUUGGAAGGCUUCAAUAAAAGUGGCCAUCUGGUUCGCAUGGGCUAUUGUUAAAUUAGAGUAGUGAUACAAUUAAUGUAGUAGUGGCCAUCCAACUCACAUUUUUCGAUGGGUUCUCAAUUUCUCACAUUUCUUGGUAACAGGUUUUGUUAAUCCUUAUGUAUCAAUCAUAUAUAUUAUAUUAUAAGUAUUUUUUUAAUGAACGAAAUUGUGUUCCACCUUUAUCUAAUAAUAAUGUCCUAGUAUCAUAUUUCUCUUUCGUGCGAGCAGCCAUUGUUUUUGCAUUUUAUUACGCGCCAACUGUUUAAUUUGACCGCUUAAUCUCCUACGCAUUUUGUUUGGUUAAACCUAGAAGCUAAGAUUGAAUAUAAUUUAGGUCCUAUUUGGAUCGACCCAUCUAAAAUUUAGCUAGCUAAAAUUUAAUAUUUUUUAGUCGGCUAAAUUUUAGUUGGAGGUGUUUGGAUCCACCAUCUAAAUACAAGGGUAUCCUGAUCCUCGCUUCUUCUCCAUCCAUCCACCCCAAAAUAUCGAUCUCUCCCGCCACAUGCGAAUAUGCGAUGCAGUAGCAAAGUUUCUUUUUGCAAAGAAUAAUAGGUAAGCGGUGCGUUAGAUACAGAAGAGUUACAGACCUCCUGGCCUCCUCCCAUACUAAAGAACAGAGACACAAUGGCAGGAAUUGGAAUCAGGAUACACCAAAUUUGAGAAAAAAAACCAAAUCAAAACUCAGCGGAGGAGCCGUUCAAGGACGGGAGGCGGCCGUCGACGAGAUCCCCUGUCCGCGACUCCGCGCUUCGCAGCGAUACGACGGCUCGUCACUGGUGGGCCGUGGAAGGUCGCGGAGUGUGAACGAAGUCAACGAGAAGAAACAAAAGGAGUAAUAUCAUUUCUGAUACGUGGUGUUUGAGGUGAUGAUUCUUGCAGUGCGUUUUGAGGGUUGCCUCCUCGAUACAAGCUGGCGUCUAACUGUUGCAAGUCUUUAAUAAACUAUAAAAGUAAUCAUCCGGAUUGCACUAGCAUAUUGUUAAAUAAUGUUAAAUUAGACAGUAGUGUAUCACAACAUAGUAGUGGCCACCAACUCACAUUUUUCGUUGAAAUUCCCAUCUUGGUGCCAGACUGUCAGGUUUUCCUGAUGAAAGGGAUUUGAUCUUCUGUAUUUCUUGUGGAUCAAUUAAAUGUUUUUCUUAUGGACAUGAUCUCCAGGUCUUUUGCCCGUAAAUAUAUCCCUAUCUGUAUACAGCUUUUCUUUUCUAUGGAGCAUGGACAUCUUGAGCCGGUGUUAUUCAUUUUACACCCCCCAACUAUUUAAUUCCACUGCUUAAUCUCCUUUAAAAUUUCAUCUAGUUUAACCAUACAACUUGUAUAGGAAGGAUAAAUUUGCAUUAAGCCCGCGGUGUUACUGGAUCCACCUACAGGAUGUGCAUCUCUGCAUGCCUAGGGGGACCCAACGGUCUUAUAUGGAAGUAGUCGCCAAGUGGAGAAUAUACGGCAAGUUGCACAUACCGAGCAUUUGUUUCAUGGUCUCACUUAUCUGCCAAGGCGGGAAACAAUCCUGAAGACCUGUGCUCCUUGCAGUGGGCAUGGUUGACUUGUUGCAGUUCGUGUCUUCAUCUUUUUUCUAUUAUCUCUCGCUACAGUUAUGUUUUGUGUUUUUGUCUGAGGUAAUGAAUGAUAAUUCUGUGACACGGGUGGAUAAGAACGAAAACACUUUGGGCUGUUAAUCAGCGCCACAACUUGUGCGUGGCUAAAGAAACAGCAGCAAAUAAAUUCCAUGGGCAGAUCAGGUUCAUACACGCACGUCCCAUUUCGCUUUCAGUUCCAUCUUCCGGCACCUGCCCAAAACACAUGUUACUUAACAACAAAACACCUUGGCAAAAAUGCAUGAGAAAUUGAAAGCAUGCAUGGAUAUAUACUUACAAACAUGAAACUUGUAUGGCUAGUUGGCUACCUUAUACAUUGCACAUCUCCAAUGCAACAAACUUAUACCGCGAGUGUGCAUGCUCGCACGACAGAACAAUCAAUUGCGUGUGGUGGAUGCAGCGGCACCGGGGGCUGUUGAGACCUUCCCUUUGGGGCCGGUCAAGGUACCAGCCAAGCCUGGGUUGAUCUCCCCGGCAGAGUCCGUGACAACUUUGGCGGCCUGGGUGACGGCAGUGCCGUCGUUUUGGUGCACCGGGCCCUGAGCUUCCCUGACGCUGCCUGAGUCCACUAGCUGCUCGGCCAGCUUUCUACCGGCGGCUGCCACCGGAGGAGUGAGGGAGCACACAGCACAGCUGCACGACGACGCCGGCCAGAACAAGGAGCAGGACGACGGAGUUCCUGGCCAUGGCAGCCAUCAGAAACUAGCUGCAAUGGUAUGUCAGUA